CAUCGCAUCCAACCACAAUACCUGCAAUUUGGGUGGCUAGCGUCGCCACCAUCUCUUUCACCGGCUGCCACUUCUUCCUCUUCCAUCUGCCACCGUCGGAGAGUUGAGUACACAGGAGAGUAGGGUUGUUCUUCUGCGUAUCAGCAGUUGCAAGGGGUCACCACGCGUUGCCCCCUUCAAUUGUGCUGUGGCCAUCUGGUCAGCCACAAGGAGAUCCAUUGCUGCAGUGACCCCAUUUGUGCUUGGAUUUGUGCCAAUGUUGUGUAUCAGUGAAUUCUGAGGCAGUGAGGGUUGUUGGACAGAUUUACCAUCGUUGGAAGAGCCACAAACUGCUGAUAAGGAUUUUCUCAACAAAAUUGGUUGGUUCAUUAAUCUGUACAAGAGAAGCAAUUUAUCUCAUGAAAUUCGAAGACAGGGAGAGCAAAAAGAAGAAAUUGAAGGCAUGGAUGCUAUUAGCUCGAGGAUGGAGGAACAAAAUAUUGAAAAGGAA